CCNGAUGCCUGCAGGGUCCUUCAUCACAG
rnacentral:piRNA from 1 species